rnacentral:rRNA from 1 species
CCUACGGGAGGCAGCAGUGGGGAAUAUUGCACAAUGGGGGAAACCCUGAUGCAGCGACGCCGCGUGAGUGAAGAAGUAACUCGUUACGUAAAGCUCUAUCAGCAGGGAAGACAACGACGGUACCUGAGUAAGAAGCUCCGGCUAACUACGUGCCAGCAGCCGCGGUAAUACGUAGGGGGCAAGCGUUAUCCGGAUUCAAUGGGUGUAAAGCGGGCGUAGACGGCCGUGCAAGGCGGAAGUGUAACCCGGGGGCUCAACCCCCGGGCGGGUCUGGAGACUGGGCGGCUGGAGUGCGGGAGAGGAGAGUGGAAUUCCUGGUGUAGCGGUGGAAUGCGUAGAUAUUGGGAAGAACACCGAUGGCGAAGGCAGCUUACUGGGCUGUAACUGACGUUGAGGCGCGAAAGCUGGGGGAGCGAACAGGAUUAGAUACCCCUGUAGUC